CCUACGUGCGGCAGCAGUGGGGACUCUUGCGCAAUGCUCGUAAGAGUGACGCAGCGACGCCGCGUGAAUGCCGAAGGCCUUCGGGUCGUAAAGUUCUUUCGACAGGGAAGAAAAUGCAUAUAAGUAACUGUUUAUGUAUUGACUGUACCUGUAUAAGCAGCCCCCGCUAACUCCGUGCCAGCCGCCGCUGUAAUACGGCGGUGGCGAGCGUUGUUCGGAGUUACUGGGCGUAAAGAGAACGUAGGGGGUGGUGUAAGUCAUUAGUCAAAGAGUAGAGCUCAACUUUAGUAAGGCUAGUGAUACUAUAAUACUAGAGUAUCAGAGAGGAUUGCAGAAUUCCUGGUGUAGCGGUGAAAUGCGUAGAUAGCAGGAGGAAUACCGAUAGCGAAGGCGGCAAUCUGGCUGGAAACUGACGCUGAGGUGCGAAAGCGUGGGUAGCAAACAGGAUUAGAUACCCCUGUAGUC
rnacentral:rRNA from 1 species